AUUGAACGCUGGCGGCAUGCUUCACACAUGCAAGUCGAACGGCAGCGCGGGGCAACCUGGCGGCGAGUGGCGAACGGGUGAGUAAUAUAUCGGAACGUACCCAGAAGUGGGGGAUAACGUAGCGAAAGUUACGCUAAUACCGCAUACGAUCUACGGAUGAAAGUAGGGGACCGCAAGGCCUUAUGCUUUUGGAGCGGCCGAUAUCUGAUUAGCUAGUUGGCGAGGUAAAGGCUCACCAAGGCGACGAUCAGUAGCUGGUCUGAGAGGACGACCAGCCACACUGGAACUGAGACACGGUCCAGACUCCUACGGGAGGCAGCAGUGGGGAAUUUUGGACAAUGGGCGCAAGCCUGAUCCAGCAAUGCCGCGUGAGUGAAGAAGGCCUUCGGGUUGUAAAGCUCUUUUGUCAGGGAAGAAACGGUAGAGGCUAAUAUCCUUUGCUAAUGACGGUACCUGAAGAAUAAGCACCGGCUAACUACGUG
rnacentral:rRNA from 1 species